AGUGUAGAUGAAGUAGGCGGAAUUUGUGGUGUAGCGGUGAAAUGCAUAGAUAUCACGAGGAACUCCGAUUGCGCAGCCAGCUUACUAAACUACUACUGACGCUCAGGCACGAAGGCGUGGGGAUCACACAGGAUUAGAUACCCUGGUAGUCCACGCAGUAAACGAUGAUUACUAGCUGUUUGCGAUACAAUGUAAGCGGCUGAGCGAAAGCGUUAAGUAAUCCACCUGGGGAGUACGUUCGCAAGAAUGAAACUCAAAGGAAUUGACGGGGGCCCGCACAAGCGGAGGAACAUGUGGUUUAAUUCGAUGAUACGCGAGGAACCUUACCCGGGCUUGAAAUGCAUCUGACCGGCCUUGAAAGAGGCUUUCCCUUCGGGGCAGAUGUGUAGGUGCUGCAUGGUUGUCGUCAGCUCGUGCCGUGAGGUGUCGGCUUAAGUGCCAUAACGAGCGCAACCCUCAUCAUUAGUUACCAUCAGGUCAAGCUGGGGACUCUAAUGAGACUGCCAUCGUAAGAUGUGAGGAAGGUGGGGAUGACGUCAAAUCAGCACGGCCCUUACGUCCGGGGCGACACACGUGUUACAAUGGGUGGUACAAAGGGCAGCUACAUGGCGACAUGAUGCUAAUCUCCAAAACCACUCUCAGUUCGGAUCGGAGUCUGCAACUCGACUCCGUGAAGCUGGAUUCGCUAGUAAUCGCGCAUCAGCCACGGCGCGGUGAAUACGUUCCNCGGGCCUUGUACACACCGCCCGUC
rnacentral:rRNA from 1 species